GAUAGGUUAAGUUAUUAAGGGCGCACGGCGAAUGCCUUGGCACUAGGAGCCGAAGAAGGACGGCACUAACACCGAUAUGCUUCGGGGAGCUGUAAGUGAGCUUUGAUCCGGAGAUUUCCGAAUGGGGGAACCCACUACGCUUAAUCGCGUAGUAUCUUGACGUGAAUACAUAGCGUCUUGAAGGCAGACCCAGGGAACUGAAACAUCUAAGUACCUG
rnacentral:rRNA from 1 species